CCGGGUAACGCUCCCAGAUCGCCGCCGCCUAGCCCUAAAAAAAAAAGGACCGCCGCCGCGUAGCCUUUCGCCGCCGGGUUCGACGAGGGAGCCGGGGCACGCAAGCCGGCCUAUACCCUAUAGAGAGACUGGUCCGGGGAUGUUCGGGGAUGCGGGCCAGCAGCGCGGCAACGUCGUGGGUGGUGGGGCGGACGCGCAUCUCCUCUACGACGACCCGCUGUCAUCGCGGCGCUCCUCGGCUCCCGCUUCGACGGCGAUUAGGUCGACGCUCAAGCGCCUCCUCGCCCUCAUCACGCAGGGCUUCUACGUCGCCCACCUCUCCCGGCAGGCGGUCAAGAACGUGCCGGCAUAGUCGCUCGAGGUGAAGAAGCACGUUUACCUCUACCUGCUCCGUUACGCCGCGAAUGUCUUGGGCUCUUCACAGGAUGAACCAUACGCAAGAAGACCUCUGGUUGGUCAACCAGCAUGAUAUCACUAACAAUAUUCCUUCCAUAAGAAGGAUGGAUGUUUUGCCAGUCGAUUACAUCUUCAAUUUGAGGCCAUGGUUCUUCCAUCCCACCCUUAUCUUCUCAAGGAAAUAUACAUCAGUAUUCUUCAUAUGGUGGUGGAUACGAGAGUGGUAGUACAACAAAAAAGAUUGAUAUCCCAAAUGGAAGGUUGGUGUUAUCAUUGGAAAUUCUAGAGAAACUAUAAAGCAUAUCCAACUUUAGUCAGGGGCAAAGAUCCAAGUAACGAGGGACAUGGAUGUUCAACCCGGGUCACAGACAAGAUUGGGUGAUCUUUCGGGCACUCCUGAGCUGUUGAUAAGUGAUGUUUUUGCAGAGGCUGAUGCUUACUCAUUUGGCACUAUCUCUAAUUGGAAGUACAAUGCACCUCAACCUAGUGUUGAGCAAUUCCAGAUGCAAAUUGCUAACAACAAGGUAAACUGGCUGCUUUCUUGACGAGAUAGUGAAAGAUGUUUGGUAGAUUAAGAAAAUUUAUGUCGAGUAAAUAAGCAUGGUGGUUCUUAUAUUGGUGGAUGAAUGGAUCUUUAAUAGACUUGAAGCAAUUUGGAUUUAGUUAGGUGAUUAUGAUCUUGAAACCAAAUUUCAUGGAGGAUUACGAGAUUUUGAUGCAUUUAUUUAGUUCAUUAUGAUCUUGAGGAGAUAGUCAAAGAUGUUCGGUGGAUUAAUUAAUCUUAGACAAUUUGGAUUUAGUUAGGUGAUUGUGAUAUUGAACCGUAUUUAUGAUGGAUUAUGAUAUCUUAGUUGGAUUUAGUUACGUGAUUUAAUCUUGAGAAGAUAGUAACAAAAUGUUCGGUGAAUUAUGAGAUUUUAGGUAUAGUAGAUGACCGUGGUGAUUAUUAUAUUGGUGGAUAAAUAGAUCUUUAAUUUUGUUUGGAACAUUUUGGAUU